UGGGGAAUCUUGCACAAUGGGGGAAACCCUGAUGCAGCGACGCCGCGUGAGCGAUGAAGCCCUUCGGGGCGUAAAGCUCUUUCGGCAGGAACGAUAAUGACGGUACCUGAAGAAGAAGCUGCGGCUAACUACGUGCCAGCAGCCGCGGUAAUACGUAGGCAGCGAGCGUUGUUCGGAGUUACUGGGCGUAAAGAGUGCGUAGGCGGUCCUCUAAGUUUGGUGUGAAAUCUCCCGGCUUAACCGGGAGGGUGCGCCGAAAACUGGAGGGCUUGAGUAUGGGAGAGGUAAGCGGAAUUCCUGGUGUAGCGGUGAAAUGCGUAGAUAUCAGGAGGAACACCUGCGGUGUAGACGGCUUACUGGACCAUCACUGACGCUGAGGCACGAAAGCGUGGGUAGCAAACAGGAUUAGAUACCCGUGUAGUCC
rnacentral:rRNA from 1 species